rnacentral:rRNA from 1 species
GUAGGGAAUUUUCGGCAAUGGGGGGAACCCUGACCGAGCAACGCCGCGUGAAUGAAGAAGGUCUUCGGAUUGUAAAAUUUUGUUGUAUGGGAAGAAAGAGCUUUAUAGGAAAUGAUAAAGAAGUGACGGUACCAUACGAGGAAGCCACGGCUAACUACGUGCCAGCAGCCGCGGUAAUACGUAGGUGGCAAGCGUUAUCCGGAAUUAUUGGGCGUAAAGGGUGAGUAGGCGGCUUAGAAAGUCCGCAGUUAAAGACGGUGGCUCAACCACCGGAUGCUGUAGAAACUGAUAGGCUAGAGUGCAGGAGAGGUUAACGGAAUUCCAUGUGUAGCGGUGAAAUGCGUAGAUAUAUGGAGGAACACCAGUGGCGAAGGCGGUUAACUGGACUGAAACUGACGCUGAGGCACGAAAGCGUGGGGAGCAAAUAGGA